ensembl:lncRNA
AUGGAAACAGCGCUAAUGCAAUGGAGAGCUGGGGUGAUGGUAGCCGCUGCCUGAAACUGAAGGGUCAGAUGAAAAACAUGCCAGAGUGGGAGUCAGUCAUCUUCCUGGGUACUCCAGUGUAAGACACAAACACACACAUUUAUACAGUGCGGGUGUAAUUUCUGGUCUUUCAAGAAUUUUUGUGUAUGCAAAAUAAUGACAGUGCUUAAAAUCAGGUGCUGUUUGUAUGUAUGUGUGUCUGUGGUGUCUUUGCAGCAUGGUGAGUUUAAGGUCCAUGUUUAAGACAGGUCUGUACAUCAAUGACCUGAGCAUGCAUGACUCGAGCAGAGAUCUGGUGCUGGCAGGAACUGAGCAGUCUGAAGAGCUCAAGAGAGCCCACAUACAGGAAAUGCACAUACAGCUGAGCAGCGCUACUUAUGAGCACCUGAAAGGAAGUCACUUUAUCUUCGAGAGACACGGUACCAUCACCAUCAAGGGGAAUGUGGAGAUUGAGACAUACUGGCUGAAAGGAAAGCGAGAUAAUGAUGGAAACGCUCAGGCCGCCUGCCCGCAGUUUGAAGCCCAGACCAUCAGUAAAGCUGCCAUCUCUGCCCCCGAACCACCCAUCGAUGAGGAAGUUCUGGUAAAUGCAUGA